AGAGCAGCCAAAGGAUGGGAUAUAGGGGUGACUUCCAUUGAUCCCUCUUCUAACUUGAGCAAGUUUUUCUCUCCACUCGAAGCCCCCUCUCAACUUUCCGUGAUUGAGUGCCACCGCGACGAGGUGUGGGAGUUGCCGCCGUCCGUCGAAGUAUUAGCUCGAUCAGAUAGGACGGAAAUUGAGAUGUUCAAAUUCGACGAUCAUAUCAUGGGAAUUCAAGGUCAUCCCGAGUACACCAAAGAUAUCCUUUUGCACCUCAUCGAUCGCCUUCUUGAUCUCAAUCUCAUUCAGAGAGAGCAUGCUGAAAAUGUGAAGAAGGAAUUGAAUGAGAGAGAGCCAGAUAGGGAAGCUUGGGAGAAGCUGUGCAGAGGGUUCUUGAAAGGGAAGUUAGAGAUGAACCAAUGAACAAAGUUGUAAUUUAGGAGAAGU